rnacentral:rRNA from 1 species
UGGAUGAUGUGGAUUAAUUCGAUGCAACGCGAAAACCUUACUACCCUUGACAUGUCCGGAAUCCCGAAGAGAUUUGGGAGCGCUCGCAAGAGAGCCGGAACACAGGUGCUGCAUGGCUGUCGUCAGCUCGUGUCGUGAGAUGUUGGGUUAAGUCCCGCAACGAGCGCAACCCUUGUCAUUAGUUGCCAUCAUUUGGUUGGGCACUCUAAUGAGACUGCCGGUGACAAACCGGAGGAAGGUGGGGAUGACGUCAAGUCCUCAUGGCCCUUAUGGGUAGGGCUUCACACGUCAUACAAUGGUCGGUACAGAGGGUUGCCAACCCGCGAGGGGGAGCUAAUCCCACAAAGCCGAUCGUAGUCCGGGUCGCAGUCUGCAACUCGACUGCGUGAAGUCGGAAUCGCUAGUAAUCGUGGAUCAGCAUGUCACGGUGAAUACGUUCCCGGGUCUU